rnacentral:rRNA from 1 species
AACCAGAAGAAUACAUUUUUGGCGAUUUCUGCUCAAUGACUGUUAAAUAGCCGCAGUACUUUGACUGUGCAAAGGUAGCAUAAUAAUUUGGCUUUUAAUUGGAGUCUCGUAUGAAUGAAAAAAUGGGGAAAUGCUCUAUCAGCUAACUAACUUUAACUUACCUAAAAGGUGAAAAUGCCUUUAGUUAAAUAAUAGACGAGAAGACCCUUGAAAUUUGAAUUUAUAAUUUUGUUGGGGCGACAAGGUAGCAAAGUUAACCUACCUUAAAAAUAUGUAUUAAUUUUAAAGGAAAAUAAAAUUACUCAAGGGAUAACAGCAUAAUUAAAAUAAGUUUGUGACCUCGAUGUUGGAUUAGGAAGAUCUUGCCCAGAAGGUUGUGAUAUUUGCUCUGUUCGAGCGGUUUUUCCUACGUGAUCUGGUUCCAAAACCGGA